GCCGGGGUGGCCGAGUGGCGAGGCAGCGGACUGCAGAUCCGCCUCACGGGGGUUCAAAUCCCUCCCCCGGCU
rnacentral:tRNA from 1 species